CCUACGGGGUGCAGCAGUGAGGAAUAUUGGUCAAUGGGCUUACGCCUGAACCAGCCAAGUCGCGUGAGGGAAGACUGCCCUAUGGGUUGUAAACCUCUUUUGUCAGGGAGCAACGCCGCAUACGUGUAGCCGGACUGAGAGUACCUGAAGAAAAAGCAUCGGCUAACUCCGUGCAAGCAGCCGCGGUAAUAAGGAGGCUGCGAGCGUUAUGCGGAUUUAUUGGGUUUAAAGGGUCCGUAGGCGGAAUGCCAAGUCAGCGGUAAACGCGCGGGGCUCAACCUCGCGCCGCCGUUGAAAAUGGCGUUCUUGAGUGGGCGAGAAGUAUGCGGAAUGCGUGGUGUAGCGGUGAAAUGCAUAGAUAGCACGCAGAACUCCGAUUGCGAAGGCAGCAUACCGGCGCCCAACUGACGCUGAAGCACGAAAGCGUGGGUAUCGAACAGGAUUAGAUACCCCAGUAGUC
rnacentral:rRNA from 1 species